UACGGAGGGGGCCAGCGUUGUUCAGAAUCAUUGGGCGUAAAGGGCGCGUAGGCGGCCGAUCAAGUCGGAGGUGAAAUCCCUCGGCUCAACUGAGGAAUUGCCUCCGAUACUGUUCGGCUUGAGUCCUGGAGAGGGUAGUGGAAUUCCCAGUGUAGCGGUGAAAUGCGUAGAGACUGGGAAGAACACCAGUGGCGAAGGCGGCUACCUGGACAGGUACUGACGCUGAAGCGCGAAAGCGUGGGGAGCAAACAGG
rnacentral:rRNA from 1 species